UAUAGUUGAGCCGCUCAGUCUGUAAGAAAUGGAGACAGCAGUCAAGUGUAGAAAAGUGCAGCAGAACAUACAACUUUUAUUCAGACAGUCAGUAACUAGAUACCUAAAUAGUAGGUGACCUUAGCUUAGUAUAGAAGGCAUCAUACCAUGGCUUGGUUUGUUCUUAAUAACGUCAAUUAACGGUUGAUAUUUGCACACCCACGAAGUAGGCUAGGCUAACGUCAGUUCCAGUUUUUGACCAUUAACGUUACAUUCACUUGCAGAUCCUCCCUCCAAGUUUGUUGGGCUCCCCCCAUGUCCAUACCAUGGUUACGCCCUUGCCAAGAUGAACACUUUACAGUUGGUUAUGUGACUGUAAGUCACUCUCUUCAAAUGCUAUUGAUGUUAGAAACGUGUAUAACAAUGUCGUAUGUAACUUUAGAGACGGUCCCUUAAUUUCUGCAUAUUCGCGAAUAUCGAACAUCCAGCUUCACACCAACUUUAUUCCAGUGACUCAGCAUAAUGCUGAGAUGUGUUAGCUUGGCAACGAGAGAUAUGGAACUAACGUCUGAGUUCUGGCCAUAUUGUAGUUCUCCAUUCAGAACUAGUUAUGGCAGUUUGUCUUUAGAAUCAAUAAAAGAAAUCUCCAGUACAAUUUACAUAGCUAACUGUAGCCCAGGCUUAUAAAUGAGAAACACUAUUUAGCUGUCUAACCAAGUCACUUUGAUUUUCUUGUUAUCUUUGAUGGAUUUGUAAGUGAGCAAAUGGGUGAACUCUAUGAGGCAGUGAGCUGACCAAUCAGCCGCCAGCUAGGCUCUGUUACCGUUACACCUCUAGGUUAGUGUCUCUGCAUGUUCUUUUGGCGCUUGCACCUGAGCAUAGGAGGCUGCGUUACCCACUGGAGAGUAAGAGAGAGCUGUGCCUGAAUCCACUGUUGUCACGGAGGUAAAGGCAGUGAAUUCUGCUAAAAUGGUCAGGUUUUGGUAAAGAGUUGGAAACAUCGUGCGGAGAUUCUUUCCACGGAAUGAUACAGAUCCUCACGUUCCAGGUGUUCUCCCAGAGAUUCAUAGAUUCCCAGUCCGGGGGGCUGGGUGGCGAGCCAACCGUGUUUGUGACUCUGACUUUAGACGGAUUGCCAGGAUCAUCAUCAUCUUCUUCAUGGUGGUAGGACAAACACUAACACGAACUAAAAAGGGCCCAACGUUGGUGACUGAACUCUUGUCAACAAAAGCAAGUGAAACUGAGGACGAACUAAGCUCAAGGGAAUUUAAAAGGGGAUUUAUUUACGUGCACACUUUAUUAUUUUAGUUUGUUAUUUUUUUCAUAACUGUUUUUUGUAUAUGUAUGUACCAGCCCAUGUGUGUUUAAUACAUCUUAUGCAAAUUGUCA